ensembl:lncRNA
UUUCAAGAAAUGCAGACUGUUAAGAGAAUAUGGUAUAUAUGUGAUCAGCUACAUGAAAUGUAUUAUCAUUAAGCACAUUUCUACAUGACUCUUUACCUAGUAACUUGUGUGCUGAACUUAUGCAGAUACUAACCGCAUCCUGUUGUUCUGAACAUUUAGAUGUAGAGAAGACCAAGCUCAGCUCUUUUACGAGAACAUGCAAAUGAAGAGAAGGGGAAAAACCCGCUGCUCUAAAUGACGUUGUUACCUUUGUACACACAUACACACACACACACACACACACACACACACACACACACACACACACACAGAAAAGUAUAAAUAAAGGAUGCGGACAGUCAAUGGGCGCAGAUCCUGUGUUCAUGACUGCCCUCGCGAGUGAAAGAACUGCAGUGUUUGUGUUUUCUAAACUCAGGAGUCUUGGCUAAAGAAAGAGCGGCAGGGUGAUUUAAAGAAAUCCCUGUCAUUUAAAUUGGUCCUUCGAACCUAGAGAUGGAAACAGCAGACUCAUUUCUGUGACUCCAAUAAGGUCUGAUUUCUGCAUCCUGACGCCGUGGUUUAAACCAGCACCGAAGUCUGUCGACAGCCCUCUCCAGGUAGAGGUGAGAGUCCUGGAACGUUGAAUUCGGGUCCAGGCCGGUGAUUUAGUACUGGUCCACGACGUUGGGAUCCAGAUGACCUGAACAACCAGCAAAAGACGACUGAGGGUUGACACCAAGUGUUAUUGACGACACCCACAGCCUGUAAAAUUGCAGAGAGACCCUCCUGGAUACAUCAGAGCCACUGCAAAAGGGUUGAGGUCCCGGGAAGCCCCAUCACUAAGGAGGAAGCACAUUGGGAAGGCCUCACCUACGUUUGGUUGCUUCGGGGGUGAGGGGGGGGUAGUGCGAUUGGGCCCCCGUUGGGUAAGCCUGCACUCCACUCUCUAUCCGAUCAACUUUAGGGCAGCCAGGUGCAGGUGUGAUGGACCAAUGUGCAACAAUGUGAAGGGGAAGCCUCAUGGUUACCUUGACUACAAAAGCUCACCCUUACAUCCAUCCUUGGAUGAAAAAUGCCUGAUACAGACCACAGAGAAAGACUGUUAUGUUAAACACCCUGGAACAAGUGCACCAAAUCUGAUCUAAUGACUUUUGUAAGGUGCACAACAUCAUCAACAUCCUGAUCCAGGAAGAAGCCCUGAACUUUAACAAGUUUUAAAGAGACUGUUGAUCAUCAUUGAAUUUUUCUUGAUUUUAUUUUGCUUUUCUUUACUUAUGUUAUUCUUUGUUUAAAGCUGUAAUUUCACAGAUGAUAAGUUUAUCAUUCACAGCAUACGCAGAUGUACCAAAACCAGUGAAGACUUCUUUUCCUGUUUGUCAGAUGAAGAUGAAGUGUAACUUAUGAUGUAGUAACUGAGUUGCUUAUUGUACAUUUCAUUUCUCUGAUAAACAGGGCGGAAUGUUAAGAGAAUAUGGUAUAUAUGUGAUCAGCUACAUGAAAUGUAUUAUCAUUAAGCACAUUUCUACAUGACUCUUUACCUAGUAACUUGUGUGCUGAACUUAUGCAGAUACUAACCGCAUCCUGUUGUUCUGAACAUUUAGAUGUAGAGAAGACCAAGCUCAGCUCUUUUACGAGAACAUGCAAAUGAAGAGAAGGGGAAAAACCCGCUGCUCUAAAUGACGUUGUUACCUUUGUACACACACACACACACACACACACACACACACACACACACACACA